GGGAAAAGCUCCACCAUCAUCUCAACGACCAAGGUUGGUUAGGGUUUCUGUUUUUUUUUUUCUGUUUUUUCUUUUCUCCUUCCCCAGUUGAAAAUUCUCUUUGGUAUGUGCUAUUUCUCUCUCCAGCUUCUCAUUUUUUAAGAUUAAUUGUUAGUGGAAAUAGGUUUUAGAUUCAUUGAAAUGUUCUCUUUUGCUUCCUUUUCUCUAAUGAGCAUUAUCUGUUCUAUUUCAUAUCUAAUUUAUAUGGUCUGAUUCUCUUUUUGUUUAUUGGGUUUUAUGUGUUAAUCUGUGAUAAAAAUAAGUUCACUUUUUUGUGCAGGUUUCUUGACUUGAAGUUUAGUUUGUCUAUCAUAUUUAGAGAUAAUAAACGAGUCUCUGGGAGAACCAACUCUGAUGAUGUUUAAAUUAGAUGAGAAGCUGAAGUUGAUAGAAUCUCGUCUGGAAAGCAAAAAUUGAGGGCCCACUUCAGGCUUACAUCCUCGUUGACGUACAUCACGUGAUAUUCCUCCGGUGUGGAGUUAAGAAUUUGGGGGUUUCUUUCAAGAAGCAAGUAAAAUGUACAGCAACUAAAGUUUACUUGGUCUCAAAUUCUUCUUGCC